CCUACGGGGGGCAGCAGUGGGGAAUAUUGGACAAUGGGGGCAACCCUGAUCCAGCCAUGCCGCGUGUGUGAAGAAGGCCCUCGGGUUGUAAAGCACUUUCAGUGAGGAAGAACGCCUGGUGGUUAAUACCCAUCAGGAAAGACAUCACUCACAGAAGAAGCACCGGCUAACUCCGUGCCAGCAGCCGCGGUAAUACGGAGGGUGCGAGCGUUAAUCGGAAUUACUGGGCGUAAAGCGCGCGUAGGUGGCUUGAUAAGCCGGUUGUGAAAGCCCCGGGCUCAACCAGGGAACGGCAUCCGGAACUGUCAAGCUAGAGUGCAGGAGAGGAAGGUAGAAUUCCCGGUGUAGCGGUGAAAUGCGUAGAGAUCGGGAGGAAUACCAGUGGCGAAGGCGGCCUUCUGGACUGACACUGACACUGAGGUGCGAAAGCGUGGGUAGCAAACAGGAUUAGAUACCCGGGUAGUC
rnacentral:rRNA from 1 species